CAAAGAACCACUUCAAAUAAAAAAGGUCAUCUUCCUCCAUAAAAAAAAUUCUCUCUCUAGAAACCCAAGAACAAGAAGAGAGAAAUUGAAGCUCGGGCUGGAAAAAAUGAAGUGUUUUUCAUCACUUCUUCAAGGAUUCAUAAUCAAGACCAAAAACAAGCGAACAAAUCCGGAAAAGGAAGGAUCAAGUUUCUUAGGGUUUCAAGCUUGGUUCAAGGGCAUCUUCAAGUAGCUAUUGAGAUACCUCACAUAGGAGACUAUAAAUCAUUACAUCGACUUCAAGGUUGAGCCGCAUCUUUUGGGUUUCCAUGGAGUUCUCUUUCGUCUAUGUUCAUCAUUUUCGGACUUAGAUAUUGUUUAAGAUAGUUGAAUUGUUUAUCAAUUGGGAAUGCAUCCCUUCUUGUUUAGAUUUAAGGAUCUUGUUAGAUUUUUUGGUUCAUUGACUUUAAUAUUCUAGGUAUUUAAAUUUCACAUUUGUUAUUUAAUUAACUUAAUUUCCUUAGUUUUGGUCUAGUUGCUUGGUUCGGGUUGUAGUAGAGGUUUUCUCAUCGAAGGUACAUCGUAGGUGCCAAUCUCAGCGGUUUGGGUCAUUAAAAAGUUUGUAUUAGAGCCUAGGUUGAUUGAUCUCGAUGUACUGAAAUAAGUCUUAUAGAGUCUCGCAAAACUCUACAUGGACUCCUUUA